CCCUGCGGGGCUAAGGCCGGGGUUGCCGCGCUUAACAGCCAGCCAGGAGAUCGGGCUCUUCCUCGGGGCUGUCUGUGUGCUCUGGGCGCCUCUGUGGCCUGAGGUCGCAGGGUAGAAGGAGCUCGCGGGACACUCACCCACACUCGGGAGCAAAGAUGAAGAUACCGAGACGCGCGCACACACAGGCACAAAUGCACCCGACCGACAUGCUCAGACUCAUUCCCAACCACAGCCACAGACACAGAGACACACCCGCCAUACGCACCGACAUGCACACUCAGGCGCGCACGCACUCACACAGAAGCUGCAGGGCUCAGUCACCCCCGCCCGACACGGGAGAAGCAGAAGCGUGAACACGGACACUCGCCGAGAAGAGUAAACGCGCGCAGCACACGCACACGUGGCGACACAGGUGCGGUCAUCUCCGUCCAGACGACAGGAGAUGACUUCAGCAGCUGCAGAUUUCCUCAGCACACCCUCAAGCACCUUUGGUGCCCUCUUUGGGGAUCUGUAGCCACGGAGACAGAUAACUGAGCCUUUUGCAUUGCAUUGGAACCUGAGCUUGUAAAGAGGGAUCUUCAGUGAAUGCACAAGAAAUGUCCCGUCCAAGGUGGUAGGAACUUUAGGAGUCCGGCCCUACCUCACAGCCGCACACGUUCUCAAUACCAACGGACAAAAAGAAUCUAGAAAGAAUGCCUAGAAGGAAUGCUCAGGACUCAAGAACCUGGUAACAACUGAAUCAUGGAGAGAUAUCACCGACUUGCUUGUAGGAGGUGGUGUUUGGUGGGAAGAGGUCCUGCUACCAUGUCAUUCCUGCCUUAAAGCCAGCCAAACAUGCAAGGAUUGAGACAUCUGAAUCAGCCAG